rnacentral:rRNA from 1 species
UUAAGCGACUAAGCGUACACGGUGGAUGCCCUGGCAGUCAGAGGCGAUGAAGGACGUGCUAAUCUGCGAUAAGCGUCGGUGAGGUGAUAUGAACCGUUAUAACCGGCGAUUUCCGAAUGGGGAAACCCAGUGUGUUUCGACACACUAUCAUUAACUGAAUCCAUAGGUUAAUGAGGCGAACCGGGGGAACUGAAACAUCUAAGUACCCCGAGGAAAAGAAAUCAACCGAGAUUCCCCCAGUAGCGGCGAGCGAACGGGGAGGAGCCCAGAGCCUGAAUCAGUGUGUGUGUUAGUGGAAGCGUCUGGAAAGGCGUGCGAUACAGGGUGACAGCCCCGUACACAAAAAUGCACAUAUUGUGAGCUCGAUGAGUAGGGCGGGACACGUGGUAUCCUGUCUGAAUAUGGGGGGACCAUCCUCCAAGGCUAAAUACUCCUGACUGACCGAUAGUGAACCAGUACCGUGAGGGAAAGGCGAAAAGAACCCCGGCGAGGGGAGUGAAAAAGAACCUGAAACCGUGUACGUACAAGCAGUGGGAGCCUCUUAAUGGGGUGACUGCGUACCUUUUGUAUAAUGGGUCAGCGACUUAUAUUCUGUAGCAAGGUUAACCGAAUAGGGGAGCCGAAGGGAAACCGAGUCUUAACUGGGCGUUAAGUUGCAGGGUAUAGACCCGAAACCCGGUGAUCUAGCCAUGGGCAGGUUGAAGGUUGGGUAACACUAACUGGAGGACCGAACCGACUAAUGUUGAAAAAUUAGCGGAUGACUUGUGGCUGGGGGUGAAAGGCCAAUCAAACCGGGAGAUAGCUGGUUCUCCCCGAAAGCUAUUUAGGUAGCGCCUCGUGAAUUCAUCUCCGGGGGUAGAGCACUGUUUCGGCAAGGGGGUCAUCCCGACUUACCAACCCGAUGCAAACUGCGAAUACCGGAGAAUGUUAUCACGGGAGACACACGGCGGGUGCUAACGUCCGUCGUGAAGAGGGAAACAACCCAGACCGCCAGCUAAGGUCCCAAAGUCAUGGUUAAGUGGGAAACGAUGUGGGAAGGCCCAGACAGCCAGGAUGUUGGCUUAGAAGCAGCCAUCAUUUAAAGAAAGCGUAAUAGCUCACUGGUCGAGUCGGCCUGCGCGGAAGAUGUAACGGGGCUAAACCAUGCACCGAAGCUGCGGCAGCGACACUAUGUGUUGUUGGGUAGGGGAGCGUUCUGUAAGCCUGUGAAGGUGGCCUGUGAGGGUUGCUGGAGGUAUCAGAAGUGCGAAUGCUGACAUAAGUAACGAUAAAGCGGGUGAAAAGCCCGCUCGCCGGAAGACCAAGGGUUCCUGUCCAACGUUAAUCGGGGCAGGGUGAGUCGACCCCUAAGGCGAGGCCGAAAGGCGUAGUCGAUGGGAAACAGGUUAAUAUUCCUGUACUUGGUGUUACUGCGAAGGGGGGACGGAGAAGGCUAUGUUGGCCGGGCGACGGUUGUCCCGGUUUAAGCGUGUAGGCUGGUUUUCCAGGCAAAUCCGGAAAACCAAGGCUGAGGCGUGAUGACGAGGCACUACGGUGCUGAAGCGACAAAUGCCCUGUUUCCAGGAAAAGCCUCUAAGCAUCAGGUAACAUCAAAUCGUACCCAAAACCGACACAGGUGGUCAGGUAGAGAAUACCAAGGCGCUUGAGAGAACUCGGGUGAAGGAACUAGGCAAAAUGGUGCCGUAACUUCGGGAGAAGGCACGCUGAUAUGUAGGUGAAGCGACUUGCUCGUGGAGCUGAAAUCAGUCGAAGAUACCAGCUGGCUGCAACUGUUUAUUAAAAACACAGCACUGUGCAAACACGAAAGUGGACGUAUACGGUGUGACGCCUGCCCGGUGCCGGAAGGUUAAUUGAUGGGGUUAGCGGUAACGCGAAGCUCUUGAUCGAAGCCCCGGUAAACGGCGGCCGUAACUAUAACGGUCCUAAGGUAGCGAAAUUCCUUGUCGGGUAAGUUCCGACCUGCACGAAUGGCGUAAUGAUGGCCAGGCUGUCUCCACCCGAGACUCAGUGAAAUUGAACUCGCUGUGAAGAUGCAGUGUACCCGCGGCAAGACGGAAAGACCCCGUGAACCUUUACUAUAGCUUGACACUGAACAUUGAGCCUUGAUGUGUAGGAUAGGUGGGAGGCUUUGAAGUGUGGACGCCAGUCUGCAUGGAGCCGACCUUGAAAUACCACCCUUUAAUGUUUGAUGUUCUAACGUUGGCCCGUAAUCCGGGUUGCGGACAGUGUCUGGUGGGUAGUUUGACUGGGGCGGUCUCCUCCUAAAGAGUAACGGAGGAGCACGAAGGUUGGCUAAUCCUGGUCGGACAUCAGGAGGUUAGUGCAAUGGCAUAAGCCAGCUUGACUGCGAGCGUGACGGCGCGAGCAGGUGCGAAAGCAGGUCAUAGUGAUCCGGUGGUUCUGAAUGGAAGGGCCAUCGCUCAACGGAUAAAAGGUACUCCGGGGAUAACAGGCUGAUACCGCCCAAGAGUUCAUAUCGACGGCGGUGUUUGGCACCUCGAUGUCGGCUCAUCACAUCCUGGGGCUGAAGUAGGUCCCAAGGGUAUGGCUGUUCGCCAUUUAAAGUGGUACGCGAGCUGGGUUUAGAACGUCGUGAGACAGUUCGGUCCCUAUCUGCCGUGGGCGCUGGAGAACUGAGGGGGGCUGCUCCUAGUACGAGAGGACCGGAGUGGACGCAUCACUGGUGUUCGGGUUGUCAUGCCAAUGGCACUGCCCGGUAGCUAAAUGCGGAAGAGAUAAGUGCUGAAAGCAUCUAAGCACGAAACUUGCCCCGAGAUGAGUUCUCCCUGACUCCUUGAGAGUCCUGAAGGAACGUUGAAGACGACGACGUUGAUAGGCCGGGUGUGUAAGCGCAGCGAUGCGUUGAGCUAACCGGUACUAAUGAACCGUGAGGCUUAACCUU